rnacentral:rRNA from 1 species
AGAGUUUGAUCCUGGCUCAGAACGAACGCUGGCGGCAGGCCUAACACAUGCAAGUCGAACGAGAUUCUUCCUUCGGGGAGAUGACAGUGGCAGACGGGUGAGUAACACGUGGGAAUCUACCUAUGAGUACGGAAUAAUUCGGGGAAACCCGGGCUAAUACCGUAUAUUACCCUUUUGGGGAAAGAUUUAUCGCUCAUUGAUGAGCCCGCGUUGGAUUAGUUUGUUGGUGGGGUAAGAGCCUACCAAGGCUACGAUCCAUAGCUGGUCUGAGAGGAUGAUCAGCCACACUGGGACUGAGACACGGCCCAGACUCCUACGGGAGGCAGCAGUGGGGAAUCUUGCACAAUGGGCGCAAGCCUGAUGCAGCCAUGCCGCGUGAGCGAAGAAGGCUUUAGGGUUGUAAAGCUCUUUCACCGGAGAAGAUAAUGA